AAGUCGUAACAAGGUAACCGUAGGUGAACCUGCGGUUGGAUCAUUAGUGAAAAUAUGAGAUGGUUUUUGACUGUCUUGAUUAUGGGAGGUCCCUUAUUAGAGGGAUAGUACCUAUCACUUUUUGUGAACUGUUGAAUGUCUUUGGUUAGCAUUUUUCCUAGGCUUGAUUACUUAGGCUUGAUUACUUAGGCUUAAUCACCUAGGCUUCAUCACCUAAGUGAAGUACCUAGGAAAAUCUAACCUUUAUCUUGAACCUAGAGUUUUCCUAUUAGUCUAAUACCUUUCUAGUAAUAGAAUACAACUUUUGACAAUGGAUCUCUUGGCUCUC
rnacentral:misc_RNA from 1 species